UACGGAAGGCAGCAGUGGGGAAUAUUGCACAAUGGGCGAAAGCCUGAUGCAGCUAUGCCGCGUGUAUGAAGAAGGCCUUAGGGUUGUAAAGUACUUUCAUCGGGGAGGAAAAAACAAAACUAAUAAUUUUAUUUCUUGACGUUACCCGAAAAAGAAGCACCGGCUAACUCCGUGCCAGCAGCCGCGGUAAUACGGAGGGUGCUAGCGUUAAUCAGAAUUACUGGGCGUAAAGAGCACGUAGGUGGUUUUUUUAAAGUCAGAUGUGAAAUCCCUGGGCUUAACCUAGGAACUGCAUUUUGAAACUGAAAUACUAGAGUAUCGUAGAGGGAGGUAGAAUUCUAGGUGUAGCGGUGAAAUGCGUAGAUAUCUGGAGGAAUACCUGUGGCGAAAGCGGCCUCCUAAACGAAUACUGACACUGAGGGUGCGAAAGCGUGGGGAGCAAAACAGGGAUUAGAUACC
rnacentral:rRNA from 1 species